AGACAGUGACCUCCUCACAGGUCCGGGAGCACCAGACUGCAAACAGCAGCCUCUGAGAGCUCAGCCCCUCUCCUCUCCAAUUCUUGAUGGGAGGCCUCGCUCGGGGCCCUGUUCUAUUAGCUAAAAUCCAUGUCUGUGCCACCGUGGCGAGCCAUCUCUUAGUGGCUAGCAGCAGGACUCAUUGGCUUCCAAGUUUGCUCAGGGCCUGAGGCACAAUGGAGAAAGGAAAGGGAGUGUCCAGAAAAGGACGGAAGCUGGCAUCCAGCCGGCGGAGGCAGGCGCGAGAGCCAGCUGAUGGUCAGGAUGCCCCUGUGGCCCCGGAGGCUGAGUCCUGGCCCUCUGAUGCUGAUGCAGAGCUUCAGGGCUUCUU
rnacentral:lncRNA from 1 species